CCUACGGGUGGCUGUAGGCGCGAAAACUUUACAAUGCUGGCAACAGCGAUAAGGGAACCUCGAGUGCCAGGUUACAAAUCUGGCUGUCGAGAUGCCUAAAAAGCAUUUCAUAGCAAGGGCCGGGCAAGACCGGUGCCAGCCGCCGCGGUAACACCGGCGGCUCGAGUGGUAACCGUUAUUAUUGGGUCUAAAGGGUCUGUAGCCGGCCGGAUAAGUCUCUUGAGAAAUCGGGCAGCUUAACUGGCAGGCGUGCAGGGGAUACUGUCUGGCUCGAGGCCGGGAGAGGGGAGAGGUACUUCAGGGGUAGGGGUGAAAUCUUGUAAUCCUUGAAGGACCACCAGUGGCGAAGGCGUCUCACCAGAACGGACCUGACGGCAAGGGACGAAAGCUAGGGGCACGAACC
rnacentral:rRNA from 1 species